rnacentral:rRNA from 1 species
AGAGUUUGAUCAUGGCUCAGAACGAACGCUGGCGGCAUGCCUAACACAUGCAAGUCGAACGAAGGCUUCGGCCUUAGUGGCGCACGGGUGCGUAACGCGUGGGAAUAUACCUUAUAGUGGGGAAUAACUUUGGGAAACUAAAGCUAAUACCGCAUACGCCCGAGAGGGGAAAGAUUUAUCGCUAUAAGAUUAGCCCGCGUGAGAUUAGGUAGUUGGUGGGGUAAUGGCCUACCAAGCCUACGAUCUCUAGCUGGUCUGAGAGGAUGAUCAGCCACACUGGAACUGAGACACGGUCCAGACUCCUACGGGAGGCAGCAGUGGGGAAUAUUGGGCAAUGGAGGAAACUCUGACCCAGCCAUGCCGCGUGAAUGAUGAAGGCCUUAGGGUUGUAAAGUUCUUUCGCCGAUGAAGAUAAUGACGGUAGUCGGAGAAGAAGCCCCGGCUAACUUCGUGCCAGCAGCCGCGGUAAUACGAAGGGGGCUAGCGUUGUUCGGAAUUACUGGGCGUAAAGCGAGCGUAGGUUGCUCGAUAAGUCAGUGGUGAAAGCCCAGAGCUCAACUCUGGAACUGCCAUUGAAACUGUCGAGCUGGAAUCUCAGAGGGGGUAGCGGAAUUCCAAAUGUAGGGGUGAAAUCCGUAGAUAUUUGGAGGAACACCGGUGGCGAAGGCGGCUACCUGGAUGAGUAUUGACACUGAGGCUCGAAAGCGUGGGGAUCAAACAGGAUUAGAUACCCUGGUAGUCC